AAUUUUGUCUAGUGCUUUUUCUGCCUCCAGUCUGAUGAUCAUGUGGUUUUUCUUCUCUGGUCUAUUGAUUGGUUGAGUUAGAUUAAUUGAUUUUCAAAUGUUGAGCCAAUCUUGCAUUCCUGGGACAAACCCAACUUGGUCAUGAUGAUAUUAUCCUUUUUAUAUCUUGCUGGGUUUAAUUUCCUAAUAUUUUGUUGAGAAUUUUUGUGUCCAUGUUCAUGAGGAAUACUGAUCUGUAGUAUUAUUUCCUUAUAACAUCUUGUCAGCUUGUAGUAAUCAGGGUGAUGUCAGCUUCAUCAAAUGAAUUGGGAAGUGUUCUCUUCAAGUUUUUGGAAGUUCGUAGCAUUGGCAUUAUCUCUUCCUUAGCCAUACAGUUGAAUAUGCCAGUGAAGCCUUCUGGGCCUGGAGUUGUCUGUGGGAUGAUUAAAUUAACUACAUAUUAACUAUAAAACCAAUUUCUUUAGUUAAUAAUGUGCUAUUCAGGUUAUCUAUUUCUUCUUAAGUAAGCUGUGGAAGUUUGUGUUAUACUGAAGGAGUUUGCUUGCUUCAUAGAAAUUGUUAAUGUUAUUGGCACAAGGUUGUUUAUAACGUUACCUUAUUCUUUUAAUAUAUAUAGGAUCUAUAGUGAUGGUCCCUCUUUCUUCUAAUAUUAGUAAUUUGUGCUUUCUCUCUCCUUCAUCAGUCUUGCUAGAGAUGUAUCAAUUUCAUUAAAAUGAUCAAAGAGCCAGUUUUAGUUUUGUUUUCUUUGAUGUUUUUCAAAAUACCUGAUAUCUAUUCUUGUUAUUACCUCCCUUCUGCAUGCUUUGGGUUUAAUUUGCUCUUUUCCUAGAGUUGUAUGGAUGCUCUAUUGAUUUGAGACAUUUCUUUUUUCCUAAUAUAAACAUUUAAUACUACAAUUUUUCCUCUUAGCACUGCUUUAUCUGUAUCCCACUUAUUUUGAUAUAUCAUGUUUUUUAAGUUUUGUUCAGUUCAAAAUAUUUUCUAAUUUCCCCAUGACUUCCUCUUUGGCCUAUAAAUUAUUUUGAAGUAUGUUGUUUAAUUUUCAGAUAUUUGGGUAUUUUCUCAGAUACGUCUCUGUUGUUUUUUGUGUGUGUUUAAUUCCACUGUGGUCAGAGAACAUACUGUCUAUAAUUGCAUUUCUUUUCAGUAUGUUGAGGUUUAUUUUGGUCUAUCUUGGUGAAUGUGAUGUGUAUUUCUGAUUUUGUUGAGUGGAGUUUUCUAUAGAUGUCAGUUAGAUCAAGUUGGUUGAUAGUGUUGUUCAGAUCUUCUAUAUCAUUACUCAUUUUUUGUCAACUUUUUCUAUCCAUUUCUGAGAGAAGCAUGUUUAAGUAUCCAAGUGUAGUUGUGGAUUUGUCUGUUUCUCCUUUCAGAUCUAUCAGUUUUUGCUUCGUAUAUUUUGACAGGUUGUUGUUACAUGUAUACACGUUUAGGAUUGUUACGUGUUCCUGGUGAGUUGACCCUUUUUAUAAUGUCAUUCUUGAACCCUGGUGAUUUUUAUUUCUCUGAGCUCUACUUUUUCUGACAUGAAUAUGGCCACUCCAACUUUGUUUUCUUCUUUUUAACUUUAAUGGUGGUAAAAUACACAUAUAACUUACCAUCUUAACCAUUUUUAAGUGUAUAUAGUUCAGUGUUAAGUACAUUCACAGUGUUCAGCCGUCACCGCCGUCCAUCCACAGAAUUCUUUUCACCUUGCAAAAUUGAGACUCUGUACCUAUUAAACAAUAACUCCCCACUUCCCCCUCCCCCCAGCCCCUGGCACCCACCAUUCUACUGUCUGUCUCUGUGAAUGUGACUCUUCUAGAUACCUUAUCUAAGUAAAAUCAUAUAGUAUUUGUCCUUUCGUGAAUAGCCUAUUUCACGUACUGUCUUUAGCGUACUAACGGUAUAUAUAUCCAAGCUGUGUAAGCUUGUAUAACAAUGAAUAAAGUCAGAUAGGGUUAAAAAAAAAAAAAAGAAUGGUGUAUAUAUGGAAACAUUCCAUUGUUGAAAAAAUUGUGUAUGUCUUUAUAUAUGUAUGUAAUAUGUUGAUUAAGUAUGAUUGUAUGUGCCUGGGAAAAACA